rnacentral:rRNA from 1 species
CACGUAGGGACCAAGCGUUGUCCGGAUUUAUUGGGCGUAAAGCGCUCGUAGGCGGUUCGGUAAGUCAGGUGUGAAAACCCCAGGCUCAACUUGGGGACGCCACCUGAUACUGCUGUGACUCGAGUUCGGUAGGGGAGUGUGGAAUUCCUGGUGUAGCGGUGAAAUGCGCAGAUAUCAGGAGGAACACCGGUGGCGAAGGCGACACUCUGGGCCGAUACUGACGCUGAGGAGCGAAAGCGUGGGGAGCGAA